rnacentral:rRNA from 1 species
CCUGACCCCAUGCCGAACUCAGAAGUGAAACGCCGUAGCGCCGAUGGUAGUGUGGGGGCUCCCCAUGCGAGAGUAGGGAACUGCCAGGC